rnacentral:misc_RNA from 1 species
GAUGAAGAACGUAGCGAAAUGCGAUACGUAAUGUGAAUUGCAGAAUUCAGUGAAUCAUCGAGUCUUUGAACGCACAUUGCGCCCCCUGGUAUUCCGGGGGGCAUGCCUGUCCGAGCGUCAUUGCUGCCCUCAAGCACGGCUUGUGUGUUGGGCCUCCGUCCUCCUCCCGGGGGACGGGCCCGAAAGGCAGCGGCGGCACCGCGUCCGGUCCUCGAGCGUAUGGGGCUUCGUCACCCGCUCUUGUAGGCCCGGCCGGCGCUUGCCGACACAUCAAUCUUUUUUCCAGGUUGACCUCGGAUCAGGUAGGGAUACCCGCUGAACUUAAGCAUUCAAUAAGCGGAGGA